ACUUCUAAUAUGAUUGUGGACAAGGCGUCUGACUUCUAAUCAGGUGAUUGUGGGUUCGAGUCCCACUGGGUGUG
rnacentral:tRNA from 1 species